UGAAAAAACGGGAAAAGUGGGGUUGUUCAAUUUACAAAUAGUAAACAUGUUUGUUUAAUAUGAACAAAUUAUGUUUACCUUCGAAACAUAAUAUAAUCUUGAAAAUCACACAUAAUUUCUUGCUGAGUUACUUUUAUAUAUUUAAAUCAUGUUGACAAAACAUGAAAUAGUUAUGCUUGAUCCUUUGCCCCUUAAUUUUGGAUAAGUAAACCCCAUCGGUGAAGAAGAAUUCCAGGAGGGGAAACUUUGCAGUCAGCCAUUUUAGAGAAGCUACAAGCACCUGCUCUGGCUGGAGGAACUUAAAAAAGAGCUCAUCACACAACACUUCCAACUGCUCCUCCCUGAUCAUGCUGGGGUCCAUGCUCCAGUCUUCACUGAGUCAGACUGCUGAACUUCUCGCCAAUAUAAGCAAGUUCAGGGGUUUAUUCAAAGUAUAGAAUGAAGACCAUGCAGCACUCCAGGAGGCAAUCGAGGACACCACGGUGGGAAUUUCCCUCCUAAUGGAAACUGGCAGUGGUGAGGAAGAGGACAUUCUCGUGGUCCACAUCUCCCAGGCUGUGGUGGUCGACCCACCAAGUGUCUGAGUGGCAGAUGCCAAGGCUUUUUUGGCCUUAUUUACAGCACAAAUCUGAUUACCAUCCUCAUCUCAGAAACACCUUGUCAUGGGGCCCGUGGCUUUGCUCCUGCUAUGAUCUCCUGGAGGCCCUUCCCUUCUUGAGCUCUCCCGCUGGUCACAGGUGUUGUGAAUUAUGUUGAUUGGUUUGUCUAUUUAUGCAGUGUCUGAUCUUGUUUCUGUGUCGGAGCGUCUUCGUUCUACGCUGUGGUGUUAUGGUUCUCUGGCAUUAAAGCCCCUUCGAGUGAACU